rnacentral:rRNA from 1 species
GACGGAGGAUGCAAGCGUUAGCCGGUAUGAUUGGGCGUAAAGCGUUCGCAGGUGGCUGUUCAAGUCUGCUGUCAAAGACCGGGGCUUAACCCUAGAAAGGCAGUGGAAACUGGACGGCUGGAGUGCAGUAUGGGUAGAGGGAAUUCCCAGUGUAGCGGUGAAAUGCGUAGAGAUUGGGAAGAACACCGGUGGCGAAAGCGCUCUGCUGGACUGCAACUGGCACUGAGGGACGAAAGCUAGGGGAGCGAAAAGG